rnacentral:rRNA from 1 species
AACGAACGCUGGCGGCAGGCUUAACACAUGCAAGUCGAGCGCCCGCAAGGGGAGCGGCAGACGGGUGAGUAACGCGUGGGAAUCUACCCAUCCCUACGGAAUAGCUCCGGGAAACUGGAAUUAAUACCGUAUACGCCCUACGGGGGAAAGAUUUAUCGGGGAUGGAUGAGCCCGCGUUGGAUUAGCUAGUUGGCGGGGUAAAGGCCUACCAAGGCGACGAUCCAUAGCUGGUCUGAGAGGAUGAUCAGCCACAUUGGGACUGAGACACGGCCCAAACUCCUACGGGAGGCAGCAGUGGGGAAUAUUGGACAAUGGGGGCAACCCUGAUCCAGCCAUGCCGCGUGAGUGAUGAAGGCCUUAGGGUUGUAAAGCUCUUUCACCGGGGAAGAUAAUGACGGUACCCGGAGAAGAAGCCCCGGCUAACUUCGUGCCAGCAGCCGCCGCCGUAA